CAGCAGCCACGGGAAUACAGAGGGUGCAAGCGUUAAUCGGAAUUACUGGGCGUAAAGCGCGCGUAGGUGGUUCGCCAAGUUGGAUGUGAAAUCCCCGGGCUCAACCUGGGAACUGCAUCCAAAACUGGCGAGCUAGAGUAUGGUAGAGGGUGGUGGAAUUUCCUGUGUAGCGGUGAAAUGCGUAGAUAUAGGAAGGAACAUCAGUGGCGAAGGCGACCACCUGGACUGAUACUGACACUGAGGUGCGAAAGCGUGGGGAGCAAACAGGAUUAGAUACCCCAGUAGUCCCUGUCUCUUAUAC
rnacentral:rRNA from 1 species